CCUAGGGAGAGUUAUAGCAAACGAAAGUAGCCACGGCGAAAUCGGACUCGCUGAACUAGGAA
rnacentral:ncRNA from 1 species